GGGUCGGUGGCGUAGUUGGUUAUCGCAUCUGUCUAACAUAGUCAUUCAUGUACAUAUGGGCCACAGAAGGUCCUCAGUUCGAUCCUGGGCCGACUCA